UUCAAAAAAUAUAUUGUAAAUAUGUAAUUUUUACGUAUAUUCCUACUUUAACUACAAAAAUGGUCAAAAUUAAUAAUUUAUCGACAAAUAUUAUUUCGUGCUGUUUAAUUUUCACCGUGUUUUUAGUUGUAUCAAAACUCAGUAUAUGAUUAUUUACUCGCUUUUUUCUUUAUUAUUUUAUUUAAACUUAUUAUACUAAUAUAUGAUUUACCAUAAUCGACUGCACUCUAACAAAAUUAAAAUGUAACAUAUUCUAAUCCGUUAAAAGUUAUAUAUAUGUAAUUAUUUCCUCCGCGCUGUAACGCGGAUCCGAACCUAGUU
rnacentral:lncRNA from 1 species